rnacentral:lncRNA from 1 species
CGCACAAUAGUUUUGCAAGUUUUAAUGUUUUUACAGUUGUACUGUACACAUUAACUUUAAACUAAACUUUAAACUGAUGAUCGCGUAUUGUCCAGUUGCAAGUAUGUCAUGCAUAUUUAGAGAGAACAUACAAGUUUUAAUGUUUUUGCAGUUCUAUUUAGAGAGAACAUAGGCUACCUGUUUUUUGUUUGGUUUUUUUUACAUUUUAACAUACAUGUUUUAAUGUUUUUUACUGUUCUUUUGUUAAGAUAAACUCUAGACUGCUGGUUGCAUAUUGUCCAGUUGCAAGUAUUUCGUGCAAAUUAGAGAAAACAUACAAGUUUUAAUGGGUUUUUUUUCAGUUCUACUGAAUAAAUUAACUUUAGGCUGUUGAUUGCGAAUUGUCCAGUUGUCAGUAUUUCAUGCAUAAUUAGAGACAGCAUUAAAGUUUUAACGCGCAGAGAAAGGGACAGUUUGACCCGCUAACUGUACUGUUUAACUCAACAUGUUUGCUUAAACAAUUUACAAACGAAAUAGCCGAAAUGACGCCCCCACUUUAAGCCAGUUUAAUUUCCUUUUUUUGAAAAAGUACUAACGUGCUUAUAUAUAUUUUUAAUGAAAUGGUAAAAUUAGUAUACGUUAAUGAAAUAGCAAUAACCAAAUAACGCUUGAUAUGGACACAUUUUAGGGUUUGGACACGUUUGGGGGUUAGUUGAGAAAUGGACACGUUUGGGCGUUUAUACAAAUGACACGCUUUGGCGCAGUUUUCAACUAGACAUGUUUGGGGGAAU